GUCAGAUGUGGUGGCACAUGCCUGUAAUCCCAGAGACUUGGGGGCUGAGGCAGGAGGAUCACAAGUUUAAGGUCAGCCUGGGCAACUUAGUGAGACCCUGUCUCAA
rnacentral:sRNA from 1 species